rnacentral:rRNA from 1 species
GACGAACGCUGGCGGCGUGCCUAAUACAUGCAAGUAGAACGCUGAAGGAGGAGCUUGCUCUUCUGGAUGAGUUGCGAACGGGUGAGUAACGCGUAGGUAACCUGCCUGGUAGCGGGGGAUAACUAUUGGAAACGAUAGCUAAUACCGCAUAACAGUAGAUGUUGCAUGACAUUUGCUUAAAAGGUGCAAUUGCACCACUACCAGAUGGACCUGCGUUGUAUUAGCUAGUUGGUGGGGUAACGGCUCACCAAGGGGACGAUACAUAGCCGACCUGAGAGGGGAAGCUGCAAAGCUGGGACGAGAACACGGCCCGGAAUACUGCGAGAGGGAGCAGUAGGGAAUCUUCGGCGAUGGACGGAAGUCUGAACGAGCGACGCCGCGUGAGUGAAGAAGGUUGUCGGAUCGUAAAGCUCUGUUGUAAGAGAAGAACGAAUGUGAGAGUUGAAAGUUCACACUGUGACGGUAUCUUACCAGAAAGGGACGGCUAACUACGUG